AUUGAACGCUGGCGGCAUGCCUUACACAUGCAAGUCGAACGGCAUCGCGGGAAAGCUUGCUUUCCUGGCGGCGAGUGGCGAACGGGUGAGUAACACAUCGGAACGUACCGGCUAGUGGGGGAUAACCCGUCGAAAGACGGGCUAAUACCGCAUACGCUCUUCGGAGGAAAGCAGGGGACCUUUGGGCCUUGCGCUAGCCGAGCGGCCGAUGUCCGAUUAGCUAGUUGGUGGGGUAAAGGCCUACCAAGGCGACGAUCGGUAGCGGGUCUGAGAGGACGAUCCGCCACACUGGGACUGAGACACGGCCCAGACUCCUACGGGAGGCAGCAGUGGGGAAUCUUGGACAAUGGGGGCAACCCUGAUCCAGCAAUGCCGCGUGGGUGAAGAAGGCCUUCGGGUUGUAAAGCCCUUUCGGCAGGGAAGAAAUCGGCGGGGCGAAUAACCCUGCUGGAUGACGGUACCUGCAGAAGAAGCACCGGCUAAGUACGUG
rnacentral:rRNA from 1 species